rnacentral:rRNA from 1 species
GAUGAACGCUGGCGGCGUGCUUAACACAUGCAAGUCGAACGAAGCACCUUGAUUUCUUCGGAUUGAUUGGUGACUGAGUGGCGGACGGGUGAGUAACGCGUGGGUAACCUGCCUCACACAGGGGGAUAACAGUUAGAAAUGACUGCUAAUACCGCAUAAGACCACAGUACCGCAUGGUACAGUGGUAAAAACUCCGGUGGUGUGAGAUGGACCCGCGUCUGAUUAGCUAGUUGGUGAGGUAACGGCCCACCAAGGCGACGAUCAGUAGCCGACCUGAGAGGGUGACCGGCCACAUUGGGACUGAGACACGGCCCAA